CUUCACUCUCCGUCUCCUGCGUCCCCCUCCGUCCCCCUCUCCCUUGCGGCGCAGUGAGCCGGAUAUGGUGCCCUGGGGCGGAACGAGCUGCACCAGCUCCGUACUCCCGUGCCUCCUGUGGAACUGCAAGCUGUGCGGGCCGGCUUGCUUAAGGUUUAACGGUGAAGAAUUGUGGGUGGAAGAAAUCGUGAUGAUGGCCCAGACCAGAUGGAGAAGAGAAGGCAACGAUGCAAAUUAGAGAAGACGUCAUUGGUGCUGGAAAAGUGCAGAGGAUAAAAUGUUUGUCUGGCCGCUUCUGUGGAGACGAGUUGUGGCUGAAAGAAGAAAUCAUCAUGACGGUCUGGGCCGGAUGGAGAAGAAAAAGGAAAGUGACCGACUCCCAUCAGAGAAGACGUCACCUGAUGUAACUGUAUGUGAUCACUAAUAUGGUCUGCAGAGCCUGUGUGGAGUUCGUGACGAAUCGGAUUACUGUAAAUUCGCUCAUCUCUAGUGGUGCAGACUGGACGAGCGGCUCCCAUGGACAUCUCCUUAUAUCUCCAUAUUAUGAAGGAGAAGAUAACAAUACCACACAUGCUGAAUCAAGAACUUCUACUAUACCCUCAGUCUCUGACAGCAGCGCUCUAUCCGCUGAUACCGCCGGUCAUCUAAUCCAGAGACUUUCUGUGCAGUAGGAGUUCACAGAGAUGAAAGGUCAUUUAUAUGUUCAGAAUGUGGGAAAUGUUUUAGCAAAAACUUUGGGUCUUGUUAAAUAUCAGAAAAUUCACACAGGGGAGAGGCCAUAUUCACAUCCUGAAUGUGAGAAAUGUUGUGGUCAGAAAUCGAAUCUGGUGGAACAUCUAAGAAUUCACUCAGGGGAGAAGCCAUUUUCAUGUCCUUAAUGUACAAAGUGUUUUACAAAGAAAUCAAACCUUGUGCUGAAUCUAAGGCAAGAAUCAGUUUUUAUGUCCAGUAUGUGGCAAAUGUUAUACCAUUAAAUCCGCCCUUGUUCAUCAUCUUAGAAGUCACACAGGAGAGAAGCAGUUUUUAUGUUCAGAAUGUGGGAGAUGUUUUAGCCAUAGAUCAAAUCUUGUGCAUCAUCUAAGAACUCACACAGGGGAGUAUCCAUUUUCAUGCACAGUAAGUAGGAAACGUUUUUUUUUUGCAAAAAUCUAAUCUUAUUUUGCAUCACAGAACUCAUAUAGAGCAGAAGCCGUUUUCAUGUCCUGAAUGGGGAAAAUGUUUUAGCCAGAAAUCGCAUAAGGAAACUUAUAAGAACUCACACAGGAGAGAAGUCGGCCAUGUCCUGAAUUGGGGAAGUGUUUUCAAUCAGGAAUCAGAUCUUUUGGUACGUCUAAUAGCUCACAUGGGGUAGAACCCACUUUUCGUGUCCUGAAUGUUGUAAACGUUUUAGUUAUAUGUCAAAUCUUAUUGACGUGUACCAUACAUUUACAGCACCUCAGGUGGGCAUUAACGCAAACAAGAACUCUAAUGCCAGCUGGUUUACCCUUUAGACCCCAUUAAAGUCUAUAGGAUUUUUACAUUAUCCGUUAUUAAUAACGGGCUAUGACGGGUUAGAACGGAUAAUGUAAAAAUCUCAUAGACUUUAAUGGGAUUUUGUAACGGCCGUUUGUAAGGGUUUUCAUAACGGAACAUUCUAACGGCUCUUUAAAACGGAAGAACUUUAUAGUGUGAAAGCGGCCUCAUGAAACGUUUAUAAUUGUCCGUCAGUAACCAUAGAAACAUCCGAUGAAAAGAUCUAA